AGGGAUCAUUACAAGUGACCCCGGUCUAACCACCGGGAUGUUCAUAACCCUUUGUUGUCCGACUCUGUUGCCUCCGGGGCGACCCUGCCUUCGGGCGGGGGCUCCGGGUGGACACUUCAAACUCUUGCGUAACUUUGCAGUCUGAGUAAACUUAAUUAAUAAAUUAAAACUUUUAACAACGGAUCUCUUGGUUCUGGCAUCGAUGAAGAACGCAGCGAAAUGCGAUAAGUAAUGUGAAUUGCAGAAUUCAGUGAAUCAUCGAAUCUUUGAACGCACAUUGCGCCCCCUGGUAUUCCGGGGGGCAUGCCUGUUCGAGCGUCAUUUCACCACUCAAGCCUCGCUUGGUAUUGGGCAACGCGGUCCGCCGCGUGCCUCAAAUCGACCGGCUGGGUCUUCUGUCCCCUAAGCGUUGUGGAAACUAUUCGCUAAAGGGUGUUCGGGAGGCUACGCCGUAAAACAACCCCAUUUCUAAGGUUGACCUCGGAUCAGGUAGGGAUACCCGCUGAACUUAAGCAUAUCAAUAAGCGGAGGAAAAGAAACCAACAGGGAUUGCUCUAGUAACGGCGAGUGAAGCAGCAAUAGUUCAAAUUUGAAAUCUGGCGUCUUCGGCGUCCGAGUUGUAAUUUGUAGAGGAUGCUUCUGAGUAACCACCGACCUAAGUUCCUUGGAACAGGACGUCAUAGAGGGUGAGAAUCCCGUAUGCGGUCGGAAAGGUGCUCUACACGUAGCUCCUUCGACGAGUCGAGUUGUUUGGGAAUGCAGCUCUAAAUGGGAGGUAAAUUUCUUCUAAAGCUAAAUAUUGGCCAGAGACCGAUAGCGCACAAGUAGAGUGAUCGAAAGAUGAAAAGCACUUUGGAAAGAGAGUUAAAAAGCACGUGAAAUUGUUAAAAGGGAAGGGAUUGCAACCAGACUUGCUCGCGGUGUUCCGCCGGUCUUCUGACCGGUCUACUCGCCGCGUUGCAGGCCAGCAUCGUCUGGUGCCGCUGGAUAAGACUUGAGGAAUGUAGCUCCCUCGGGAGUGUUAUAGCCUCUUGUGAUGCAGCGAGCGCCGGGCGAGGUCCGCGCUUCGGCUAGGAUGCUGGCGUAAUGGUCGUAAUCCGC
rnacentral:rRNA from 1 species